rnacentral:misc_RNA from 1 species
GAUGAAGAACGUAGCGAAAUGCGAUAAGUAAUGUGAAUUGCAGAAUUCAGUGAAUCAUCGAAUCUUUGAACGCACCUUGCGCCCUUUGGCCAUUCCGAAGGGCAUGCCUGUUUGAGUAUCAUGAACACCUCAACUCUCAUGGCUCGCCAUGAUGAGCUUGGAUUUGGGGGUCUUGCUGGCCUGUGGUCGACUCCUCUCAAAUGGAUCAGCUUGCCAGUGUUUGGUGGCAUCACAGGUGUGAUAACUAUCUGCGCUUGUGGUUUUCCAUCAGAUAACCUUCAGUGAUGGAGGUUCGCUGGAGCUCAUAAACGUCUCCCCUAAGCGGGGACAGCCCUUUGAAUGUUUGAUCUCAAAUCAGGUAGGACUACCCGCUGAACUUAAGCAUAUCAAUAAGCGGAGGA